rnacentral:rRNA from 1 species
CUGCAGCCCGAGUGGUGAUCGAUUUUAUUGAGCCUAAAGCGUCCGUAGCCGGACUAGUAAACCCUUGGGUAAAUUGGGCAGCUUAACUGUCCAAAUUCCGAGGGGACUGCUAGUCUUGGGACCGGGAGAGGUCAGAGGUACUCAAGGGGUAGGGGCUAAAUCCUGUAAUCCUUUGGGGACCACCAGUGGCGAAGGCGUCUGACUAGAACGGAUCCGACGGUAAGGGACGAAACCCUGGGGCGCGAACCGGAUUAGAGACCCGAGUAGUC